rnacentral:ncRNA from 1 species
CCUUAUCAAGAGUGGCGGAGGAACAGGUCCUGCGAAGCCCGGCAACCAUCGCAAGCAGUUGCGGAAAGGUGCCAAGUCCUGCGGAUUGCGGCAAUGCCGUAUUUCCGAGAGAUGAGG